UCCUCCACCUCCCUGGCCUCCUGUUUCUUCUUGUUAUUCUUCUUUCUUCUUGCUAUUCUUCUUUCUAGAAUCCAGCGAGGCUGAUUGACCUUUUUUUUUUGUUUGUGAUGUGUAGGAAUCCAGCGAGGCUGCCCAGAAUCAAGCCCGCCCCUUCUUCGUCUGCAAGUACUCGAGUAGAUUAACACAUGUGUGUAGGCGAGCACUAGGCUAUAUAGUGCAGGUUAAUUGUUGAACACCAAGAACACUUAGUGGAGUGGGCAUAGAAGUGGACUGGACACUAUCUGCAUGAGCUUGUACAAAGACAACUGGAGGUGCAGAAAUCCAUGGCAAACCAAGCAUCACCUCUACAAGAAGAAUGACAGAGGAGUUGCUGCAAAAGAUCAAUGACCCCCUUGAUGUGAUUCAGAGUGACUUGCUAGAUUCUUUUGUUCACUUCAAUGAAGAUCACUAGUUAGAAACAUAUAUAAGCUCUUGUGCACUAUUGCUGAUGACGUGCAUUCAUUUUAAAUUUAAAUUUGACCGAUCUUUGUAUAUCCUGGAUAUGAACCAUGUACUGGAUAAUGAAUCAUGUCAAUGAUCACA